rnacentral:rRNA from 1 species
AGAGUUAAAUAGUGCGUGAAAUUGUUGAAAGGGAAACGAUUGAAGUCAGUCGUACCUGCGGAUAAUCAGCCUUUAGGAUGCGAUUUUGUGGAGUGUGAGGAGCUAAUCGCCUUCAUGCCUGUAUAUUCGUGUACUUGGGGUGUACUUAUUCGUGUGGUAAGUUAACAUCAAUUUUGGUCGUCAUAAAAUGACUGGAGGAAUGUAGCUUCGAUCUCGUAUUGAAGUGUUAUAGCCUUUGGUAGAUGUGAUUAUCGGGAUUGAGGAUUGCAACGGAUACCCUUCGGGGCUACUUGUCUGAUCUCUGAUCGUUGCUCUGGUGCCGAAAGCGUGCUUACGGUUAUCAAAGUCGAUGGUUAAUAGGUUAGAACGGGUUAAAUUCGUUAAGGAUGUUGACGUAAUGGCUUUAAACGACC